rnacentral:sRNA from 1 species
AGGUGCUUGCCUUAGAGCAAGGGAAACAGCUCUCAUUCAAAGGAACUAGAAGCCUCUCCCUCAGUGUUCCUGCUGCUGUCCUAUGACCUCUUUGUCAAUUCCUUCUCAGAACUGCUCCAAAAGACUCCUGUCAUCCAGCUUGUGCUCUUCAUCAUCCAGGAUAUUGCAGUCCUCUUCAACAUCAUCAUCAUUUUCCUCAUGUUCUUCAACACCUUCGUCUUCCAGGCUGGCCUGGUCAACCUCCUAUUCCAUAAGUUCAAAGGGACCAUCAUCCUGACAGCUGUGUACUUUGCCCUCAGCAUCUCCCUUCAUGUCUGGGUCAUGAACUUACGCUGGAAAAACUCCAACAGCUUCAUAUGGACAGAUGGACUUCAAACGCUGUUUGUAUUCCAGAGACUAGCAGCAGUGUUGUACUGCUACUUCUAUAAACGGACAGCCGUAAGACUAGGCGAUCCUCGCUUCUACCAGGACUCUUUGUGGCUGCGCAAGGAGUUCAUGCAAGUUCGAAGGUGACCUCUUGUCACACUGAUGGAUACUUUUCCUUCCUGAUAGAAG